rnacentral:lncRNA from 1 species
AGAUCUGGCCAUGGAGGUCGUAGAUCGCCUCGUGGAUGCCUUUCGGGGAGGUAUCGGAUUGGGAUCUGGCCGGAGAAGAAGAAGAAGAUAUCGAAGAAAAUGAUCGGAGAUAGUCCCGUUGAGUACUCCUUUAAGAGCAAGGAUCCUGCGAAGACACAACCCUUCCUCUAGCAUCAAUUCUAUUGGUGCAGAAUUCCAUCAUGCCAGAGAAACUG